CCAAAUGAUAUAAAUAAAAUAGAAUAGACCAAAUACCAAAAACUAAACCAUUCUUUUACCUGAGUAUGGGAGACAGAAAAGGUUCAACCAAAGCAAUAGAAAUAGUACCGCAAGGGAAAGCUGAAAGAGAAAUGAAAUAACCCAUAUAAGUAUUAAAAAGCAAAGACUAGACCUUGUACCUUUUGCAUCAUGAUUUAGCUAGUAAACACAAGCAAAGAGACCUUUAGUUUGAAACCCCGAAACCAGGUGAGCUACCCCGAGACAGCCUAUUAAGGGCCAACCCGUCUCUGUGGCAAAAGAGUGGGAAGAGCUCCGGGUAGAAGUGACAGACCUACCGAACCUGGUGAUAGCUGGUUGCCUAAGAAAUGAAUAGAAGUUCAGCCUCGUGCGCCUCAGAUCAAACAAGCACUAAUCAAGACACUAAGAGAAAGGCACGAGAGUUAGUUAAAGGGGGUACAGCCCCUUUAACAAAGGAUACAACCUUAUUCAGGAGGAUAAAGAUCAUAAUAUAUAAAACAUACUGUUCUAGUGGGCCUAAAAGCAGCCACCUAAGCAGAAAGCGUUAAAGCUCAGACAGAAGAAAGUUUAUUAUUCUGAUAAAAAAUCUUACUCCCCUAAAUACUAUUAGGCCAAUCCAUGCACCCAUGGAAGUAAUUAUGCUAAAAUGAGUAACAAGAAGGCCCGCCCUUCUCCGAGCACAAGUGUAAGCCAAACCGGACCGACCAUUGGCAACUAACGAACUCAACCCAAGAGAGCAAUGUGAACCAUAAAGAAAACAAGAAAAACCCACAACUCAACAAUCGUUAACCCCACACUGGAGUGCUAUCAAAGGAAAGACUAAAAGAAAAGGAAGGAACUCGGCAAACACAAGCCUCGCCUGUUUACCAAAAACAUCGCCUCCUGCAACGCAGCCAUGUAUAGGAGGUCCAGCCUGCCCAGUGACUACAAGUUCAACGGCCGCGGUAUUUUGACCGUGCAAAGGUAGCGCAAUCACUUGUCUUUUAAAUAGAGACCUGUAUGAAUGGCUAAACGAGGGCUUAACUGUCUCCCUUUUCAAGUC
rnacentral:rRNA from 1 species